UUAUUGGAGAGUUUGAUCCUGGCUCAGGACGAACGCUGGCGGCGUGCCUAAUACAUGCAAGUCGAGCGGACUUGAUGAGGAGCUUGCUCCUCUGAUGGUUAGCGGCGGACGGGUGAGUAACACGU
rnacentral:rRNA from 1 species